rnacentral:rRNA from 1 species
CGGCAAUGGAGGAAACUCUGACCGAGCAACGCCGCGUGAACGAUGAAGUAUUUCGGUACGUAAAGUUCUUUUAUUAGGGAAGAAUAAAUGAUGGAAAAAUCAUUCUGACGGUACCUAAUGAAUAAGCCCCGGCUAACUAUGUCGGAGCAGCCGCGGUAUUACAUAGGGGGCAAGCGUUAUCCGGAAUUAUUGGGCGUAAAGGGUGCGUAGGCGGUUAAAUAAGUUUAUGGUCUAAGUGCAAUGCUCAACAUUGUGAUGCUAUAAAAACUGUUUAGCUAGAGUAAGAUAGAGGCAAGUGGAAUUCCAUGUCUAGUGGUAAAAUGCGUAAAUAUAUGGAGCAACACCAGUAGCGAAGGCGGCUUGCUGUGUCUUUACUGACGCUGAGGCACGAAAGCGUGGGGAGCAAACAGGAUUAGAUACCCUGGUAGUCCACGCCGUAAACGAUGAGUACAAAACGUUGGGUAAAACCAGUGUUGAAGUUAACACAUUAAGUACUCCGCCUGAGUAGUACGUACGCAAGUAUGAAACUUAAAGGAAUUGACGGGACUCCGCACAAGCGGUGGAUCAUGUUGUUUAAUUCGAGGGUACCCGAAAAACCUCACCAGGUCUUGACAUGCUUCUGCAAAGCUGUAGAAACACAGUGGAGGUUAUCAGUUGCACAGGUGGUGCAUGGUUGUCGUCAGCUGGUGUCGUGAGAUGUUGGGUUAAGUCCCGCAACGAGCGCAACCCUUAUUGUUAGUUACCAGCACGUAAUGGUGGGGACUUUAGCAAGACUGCCAGUGAUAAAUUGGAGGAAGGUGGGGACUUCGUCAAAUCAUCAUGCCCCUUAUGACCUGGGCUACAAACGUGAUACAAUGGCUGUUACAAAGAGUUAGCUGAA